GGGGAAUAUUGGACAAUGGGCGCAAGCCUGAUCCAGCCAUGCCGCGUGAGUGAAGAAGGCCCUAGGGUUGUAAAGCUCUUUCGCCAGGGAAGAUAAUGACGGUACCUGGUAAAGAAGUCCCGGCUAACUCCGUGCCAGCAGCCGCGGUAAUACGGAGGGGACUAGCGUUGUUCGGAAUUACUGGGCGUAAAGAGUACGUAGGCGGCUUGCCAAGUUGGAUGUGAAAGCCCGGGGCUCAACCCCGGAACUGCAUUCAAAACUGGUUGGCUAGAGAUCGGAAGAGGUAAGUGGAAUUCCCAGUGUAGAGGUGAAAUUCGUAGAUAUUGGGAAGAACACCGGUGGCGAAGGCGACUUACUGGUCCGAUACUGACGCUGAGGUACGAAAGCGUGGGGAGCAAAC
rnacentral:rRNA from 1 species